rnacentral:rRNA from 1 species
AGCGGCAGGCCUAAUACAUGCAAGUCGAACGGUAACAUUGGUGCUUGCACCAGAUGACGAGUGGCGCACGGGUGCGUAACGCGUAUGCAACCUACCUUUUACUAGAGUAUAGCCCAGAGAAAUUUGGAUUAAUCCUCUAUAACAUCUUUUAAUUUCAUGAUUUUAAGAUUAAAGUUUUAACGGUAAAAGAUGGGCAUGCGUCCUAUUAGUUUGUAGGUGAGGUAACGGCUCACCUAGACUACGAUAGGUAGGGGCCCUGAGAGGGGGAUCCCCCACACUGGUACUGAGACACGGACCAGACUCCUACGGGAGGCAGCAGUAAGGAAUAUUGGACAAUGGACGAAAGUCUGAUCCAGCCAUGCCGCGUGCAGGAUGACAGCCCUACGGGUUGUAAACUGCUUUUAUACAGGAAGAAACACUCCGACGUGUCGGAGCUUGACGGUACUGUAAGAAUAAGGAUCGGCUAACUCCGUGCCAGCAGCCGCGGUAAUACGGAGGAUCCAAGCGUUAUCCGGAAUCAUUGGGUUUAAAGGGUCCGCAGGCUGUUUUUUAAGUCAGAGGUGAAAUCCUACAGCUCAACUGUAGAACUGCCUUUGAUACUGGAAAACUUGAGUUAUUGUGAAGUGGUUAGAAUGUGUGGUGUAGCGGUGAAAUGCAUAGAUAUCACACAGAAUACCGAUUGCGAAGGCAGAUCACUAACAAUAUACUGACGCUCAUGGACGAAAGCGUGGGGAGCGAACAGGAUUAGAUACCCUGGUAGUCCACGCCGUAAACGAUGGAUACUAGCUGUUCGUCUAACAUUGGUUAGAUGAGUGGCUAAGCGAAAGUGAUAAGUAUCCCACCUGGGGAGUAC